GGUCAUCGAGUUCACUCCUCCUCCCAGAACUCGAUACCGGAAUACGGCACUCCUCCUCCCAGCCGUAUUCGAAGAUCAGGCCGCGCAUCCUCCUCCCGCGCGGCCUUUUUC
rnacentral:sRNA from 3 species